rnacentral:tRNA from 3 species
CAGUAUAUAGUUUAUAUUUAAAAUUUAGUGUUUGGGACACUGGGAAUUUCUUUACUGA